UACGUAGGGUGCGAGCGUUGUCCGGAAUUAUUGGGCGUAAAGAGCUCGUAGGCGGUUUGUCACGUCUGCUGUGAAAUCCCGAGGCUCAACCUCGGGCCUGCAGUGGGUACGGGCAGACUGGAGUGUGGUAGGGGAGACUGGAAUUCCUGGUGUAGCGGUGAAAUGCGCAGAUAUCAGGAGGAACACCGAUGGCGAAGGCAGGUCUCUGGGCCACUACUGACGCUGAGAAGCGAAAGCAUGGGGAGCGAACAGG
rnacentral:rRNA from 1 species